CCUACGGGAGGCAGCAGUAGGGAAUAUUGCACAAUGGGGGAAACCCUGAUGCAGCGACGCCGCGUGAGUGAAGAAGGAUUUCGGUACGUAAAGCUCUAUCAGCAGAGAAGAAAAUGACGGUAUCUGACUAAUAAGCCCCGGCUAACUCCGUGCCAGCAGCCGCGGUAAUACGUAGGGGGCAAGCGUUAUCCGGAUUUACUGGGUGUAAAGGGAGCGUAGGCGGGCAGGAAAGUCAGAUGUGAAAGCCCAGGGCUCAACCCUGGGACUGCAUUUGAAACUGUGGGGCUGGAGUGCAGGAGAGGUAAGCGGAAUUCCUAGUGUAGCGGUGAAAUGCGUAGAUAUUAGGAGGAAUACUAGUGGCGAAGGCGGCCUACUGGAAUGUAACUGACGUUGAGGCUCGAAAGCGUGGGGAGCAAACAGGAUUAGAUACCCCAGUAGUC
rnacentral:rRNA from 1 species